rnacentral:rRNA from 1 species
UACGGGGGGGGCAAGCGUUGUUCGGAAUUACUGGGCGUAAAGGGCUCGUAGGUGGCCAACUAAGUCAGACGUGAAAUCCCUCGGCUUAACCGGGGAACUGCGUCUGAUACUGGAUGGCUUGAGUUUGGGAGAGGGACGCGGAAUUCCAGGUGUAGCGGUGAAAUGCGCAGAUAUCAGGAGGAACACCGGUGGCGAAGGCGGGUCUCUGGGCCGAUGACUGACGCUGAGGCACGAAAGCGUGGGGAGCAAACAGG